rnacentral:rRNA from 1 species
CUUACACAUGCAAGUCGAGGGGAACGACAUCGAAAGCUUGCUUUUGAUGGGCGUCGACCGGCGCACGGGUGAGUAACGCGUAUCCAACCUGCCCACCACUUGAGGAUAACCUUGCGAAAGUAAGACUAAUACCCAAUGAUAUCUCUAGAAGACAUCUGAAGGAGAUUAAAGAUUUAUUGGUGAUGGAUGGGGAUGCGUCUGAUUAGCUUGUUGGCGGGGUAACGGCCCACCAAGGCUACGAUCAGUAGGGGUUCUGAGAGGAAGGUCCCCCACAUUGGAACUGAGACACGGUCCAAACUCCUACGGGAGGCAGCAGUGAGGAAUAUUGGUCAAUGGACGAGAGUCUGAACCAGCCAAGUAGCGUGCAGGAUGACGGCCCUAUGGGUUGUAAACUGCUUUUAUAAGGGAAUAAAGUGAGUCUCGUGAGACUUUUUGCAUGUACCUUAUGAAUAAGGACCGGCUAAUUCCGUGCCAGCAGCCGCGGUAAUACGGAAGGUCCGGGCGUUAUCCGGAUUUAUUGGGUUUAAAGGGAGCGUAGGCCGGAGAUUAAGCGUGUUGUGAAAUGUAGAUGCUCAACAUCUGCACUGCAGCGCGAACUGGUUUCCUUGAGUACGCACAAAGUGGGCGGAAUUCGUGGUGUAGCGGUGAAAUGCUUAGAUAUCACGAAGAACUCCGAUUGCGAAGGCAGCUCACUGGAGCGCAACUGACGCUGAAGCUCGAAAGUGCGGGUAUCGAACAGGAUUAGAUACCCUGGUAGUCCGCACGG